GGUUUUCUCAGCACCCCCCGCACCUGCUCGCCGUCGCCUGAGCCCUGUAACGAAUCACUGAAGGAGGAAUGUUGUUUUUGCAACUGAUUUGGCACCUGAGCCCAGCGCGGGGCAACGACUGAGAGACAUCAGACUAUGAAUCACAGAAUCACGGAGCUUUGUAGGGGGCGCCGUGCGUUCUCCGGCCGUGGGAUCUCGCUGGAGGAGUGGCCGGGUCGCCGGACCCCCGGUCUGGAGGGUGCCUGCUUCGAUCUCCGGUUUUCCCAUCGCCCUCACCCCUCCCCCGCCCCGCAAAGGUAUCACUAGCAAAGGCUAACCUGCACCACAAGGGCAGCAGCAAGGAACACCAGGCCUGGGGGAGCAUGUGGAAUCCCAGAGCAUCUUCACUCCUCAAGUUAUUGCCAUAGAUGGGGCUGGAAGAAGAUUUCUCGACCGAAUUUGCAGCAUUGCCUCGGCCCCACCUGAGCCCUUUAGCCGCAGUCACCACGCAAGUGGAUGCAAAUCCUGGAUUUUUUACGCGGUAAAGCAGCAGCUCCUCCUGCUCCGCAGCCCCGACGGGCGUUACUGGUUGCCGAGCGACACCCGCCGGGCUCCGCCCCCUGCAGCACCGCGGCGCCGCGGCCUCUCCCGUCAGGCCCCGCGGGUUCCGGCCGCUGCCUCUCAGUGGCUGCUCCCGUCAAAAGGGCGGAGGCGGGGAAUCUGAGCGGGGUUUGUGGCUGCGCGGUCUGAGAGCGGAGCUGAGGCGCCAUGGCUGUCUCCGGCUGCAUGAAGUCCCUGCUGCUCGCAGCCCCGGGCGGCCGCGACCCGCCCAACGCGGCGUUGCUGCAGCACGGCCUGGAGGUUAUCUCUGGACAGAAGCUUACAUGCUUAUUUGCUUCAAACCAGAUUCUACCAAGUGAAUGUCUCAGUUGCCUGGUAGAACUCCUUGAGGAUGCCAAUACAAACCCAUCUCUCACCUUGUCUGUGGUUACUUUGCUACCACAGCUGGGUAAGGUUUGCAUCUGAACUUUUUUUCUUGGGUCUGGGAAAGGGCAGACAAGACAGGUGCUGAUUCUGUGGCAUGGGUGAUGAACCUCUUGGAAAAAGCAUAAGGUGAGACAGAUGAAGUUUUUGUAGUGCAGUGCAUGGCUGAGCCAACGGACAGUGUGUACUAGGACAGGUAAGAUGUUGACUCACCCUGAGAAGCAGAUCUGAAGUCACCUCUGUGAGAUGGCGAUGAUCAUGCUUGUGAGAAUUUGCUUCGUCACUGGGUAGGAUGAGGAAUUAUUCUCUUUUCCUUGAUUUUUGGAGCUUGAAGGGACUACCUUUUUUAAUGAAGUGGAUAAACGUGCCUAGGAGAUGCAAAGAUUGGGGUAAUCCACAUUGCAUCAGCAACUGUCAUCACUCAGUUACCUCUGCCAUUGGAGUGUUUCCUGAGCGGCAGUUUGGGCUCUCCAGUGCGCUAAGCCUGUGUGCAUCAAGUUUCCCAAUUACAAAACAGGUUCUCCUGCCUCUAACUUGUUUCUUGAGAUGCAUUAUUUCUCCUUUUCACAGAAUUGGGACUUAAUUGUUCAGGUAGCUCUGUGCCCACCAUAACCUACAUAUGUAGGUUACCUAUACAGGGAAAAAAACAAAAUCCCUUCCCUGCUUAGUUUGUUAGCACGUAUGAGUAAUUAUUGAAGAUGUGAGUCCUUUAUGAUGAUCUCUUGUUUAUCUCCUCUGGUUCCUGGAGUUUUUAGCAUCUUUGAGCUUCCUUUUAGAUUUUUGAAACAGUUACUGUAAGAUUAUGUGGGUUGCUGGGGUUUUUAACUUCUCCAACCUGCUGGGUCUGGAAAAUUUUAAGAAUUAGUCCCUCUCCAACUGAUCUGUUGCUUUGCCUGUCAUCCUUGUUUGCUACAUCUUUUCCAGGACUGCCUAAGCAGAACUGGCAUCUUUAAUUUAGCUCUUGCUAGAUAACUCUAUCAAGGAAUCAGUUUUAAUCUACUUGUCCACCCUAGUGUGAAGCAAGACCUUUAAGUUCUUAUAUCAGGUAUUUAUGAGAUAUUUAGUUUCAGCUGCUAUGCUACGCUGUGAUUUUUGUCAUACUUAUGUAUAUUAAUUUAGUAUUAAUUCAAUUAUGUACUGAAAGGAUGCUGUAUGAAGGACUUGACUACCAUUAGAUCUGCUGGCAGUCUUCACAGCAAACUUGUUUUCCUCUAAGCAUAAUUUCUGCGUGAGGUUGCAAAGCUCUUUUUGCAUUUUGGUGAAACUCGUAGAUCUUUCAACAGGAUAAAGCCCCUUCGUCCCUGACAGAGUGGAGACCUUGUUGAUGAGGCAAAGUGGAAAAUUGGAUGGUCUGAAAAGGUAAUGUCUCUGUCAAAAUAAAACCUUAUGCAUCUGUUUGGGCUUUUAAUAAGUACAUCAUUGUGGCAGGACAUGACCCAGUAGGCUCACGGCAGCUUGUGUAAUUGUUAGGUUAACAUCACAUGGUCUGAAAAUGAAUUCAGUUGUGGUGUCUUGUUAUUUCUCCUUUCGGUUCCAGCUUUUGUUAAUUUGUAACAUUCUUCAGUGAGAUGCUGUAGGAAAGACACAUGUGAACAGCUUUUUAUUUCCUCAGAGCAUUCAGUUGCUGCAGAGGCUAACCUACAAUGUUCCCAUGUUUUGUGCUGGUGCUAACAUAGAUGAAUUAAUUUCAUUUCUAGUGCAUCAUGUGUGUGUACUCAGUUGUCUUGUCUUAUGGGAAAUACCUGGCUGAGAUUCUCAAGUUUCUGAAGGCCGUUUGCAUAUUGCACUAACCUGGUCUCCAGAGUGAGCUGUCGCAUUUUUGCUCUGAAGUAAAGAGUGUUUUUUCUUUGAAAACCAUGUUGUUACAGCCUGUCAAAUGCAGUGGUUGUGGGACUUUCAGUGGCUGGAUACUAACUGGCCUCCUAGCCCACCCCCAUGCCCCAGGGAGCUGUCAAAGAGAAGAACCAGGGGAAAAUUCGUGUUUGUCAUUAGGAACAGGCUUAUGUUAGCUUAAAAUGACUUUUGUGCAAGGGUCCUUGUAAGAGAUCUAGUGACUAUUAAAAGCACCUGCAAUAAAGGACAUUGGAUAA